CAGCCCUAUGCUCCCGGACUCGUGUACUCGAACUUUUUAAUCCAAGUACUUCUCACGCCCAUUUAUGAUUUUACCAUCUCCCGAACAGCCUCCUUUCUCCCUAUCUCAAUUUCAUCACUGCUCCAUGGAAUUCAAAUUUCGAGCUGUAGACGGCAAACCGCCAACGUUAUUCUCUUCGUCAUCGACUCUCGGAUACUUUUCCGAAGAAGCAUUUCGAGCAAACUAUCCAAACAUUGAUCCGAGACAAAACCCCGAGCUAAUGCGAAACCAAACGCUCCAGUGCGAAAUCGAGAAGCAGCGUAUCAGAGAAGAGAUAAUCGCAAAGGAAAUCGCACGGCGGCGGGUACUCGAAGCCGAGGUGAGGAGAGAGCUGAUGAUGGAGAGAGAAAUGGCAAUGCGAGUAGGAAUCAGGGACGGAGGCCUGUCUUCUGAGGAAAGACUGACAAUGCGGCUUGAACAGGGAGCUUGGUUCCCUUGCGUGAACCAAUUUGACAAUCGCCGGCUCGAAGAUCGAUCAGCAUUUCAUGGUCAUGGCGUGUUCGAUCAAUGGCCAAGGUUAUCAGAAGCUUUGGUGUUGCCUGAUGUUAAGCCAGUUUCAGAAGAUAAUAAGGAUAAACUAAUAGUACUGGCUAAGCCUGAUCCAAAUCAUUGUGGAGCAAAGCGGAAGGCUGCAACACCACCUGAAGGAGGUGCUGCUGGGCUCCCAUAUGCUGGUUUAAAGAAGAAACUCAAGGAAGAUUGGAGCUGCGCCCUAUGUCAGGUUAGCGCUACAAGUGAAAGAGGUUUGAAUGAACACCUUCAAGGCAAGAGGCACAAGGCUAAGGAAGCAAGAUUGAGAGCAAAUAGGGUGGCCAAAAACUUAAGUCCUAUACCGUUUCCAAAGAAAACUGCAAAACCAGCUAAUCUCACUACCAGUAUUGCAGGCUCAGAACUAGAGGCAAAAGUUGAAGGGGAAUUACUUGAAGUUGAAAAAGCUAAUGAUGAUACAGACAAGAAAAGAGAGAACAAACAAGAUUCAGGGAAUGCAAAUGAUAAGCUGCAAAAAUGUACAUACAGAAAAUUUGAAGAGAAAAGGGGCAGGGAAAUUGCAGAGGAGAGGACAGCAGAAUUUAGGAAGAAGAAACAAUUCAAGUUCUGGUGUGAAAUGUGUCAGAUUGGUGCCUACUCUGCAGUGGUAAUGGAGGCUCAUGAAAAGGGGAAGAAGCACAAAUUUCAGCUGCAGCAGCUUCAUCAAAACGGAGAAGCUGUCCCAGCCAUCACUACAAUGGUAUCAUCUAAAGCUGGCGAGAAGGCAAAGGAUAGAGAAGCUGUGACUGUAGAAGCAAAUGAGAAGAAGACGGGAAAUGCCAACUAUAAAGAAAAAACAACAGAAACUGUUGCAGGCAAUGACAAGAUAAUAGAAAAUGGGCCGCAGAUGAUGAGAGAUCAGGAUAAUCUUCAAUUUCAAGUCAAUAAGCAAAAUUGAACCACCCUCGUUGUUUGGGAAGGUAUCCUCUAGACAUGGACGUGAAGUUCAAGGUUACAUUUUCCGUUUCUUGUUUGUUAAGUAACUUUUACUUAAAACCUUGCAUCUGAAAUGGAGCCAGCAACAACAGAUCUUUUAGAAUUGGAAAUUGGACGUGUCUUGAUUAAAAUUAUUAUCUUGUCCCUUUGUAGGUUAGAAUGGAACUCUUAUUGACAUGGUCUUUAAAACGCGCAGCGUACGAAGACCAAUGCUUUUUCAUGAUAGAAACUUAGCUUUCACCGAUUGGUCUACCUUAGGAAGAAUUGGCUUCAAGUCCACGCAAAGAACUUGGAUGUAACUCGUUACCAGGCCAACGCCUCCUCAUAAUGUAAACUAACUUUCACCGAUUGGUGUACCUUUGGAAGAAUUAGCUUCGAGUCUACGCAAAGACCUACUUGGAGGUAAACCCUUACCAGGCAAUCGCUUAAGCCAUUUACACAUCAAUUCACUUGUAAGUUUAUCAUCUGGCCAGACUACAGGGUUCUAGUUUAAUUUUUGCAUUAUAAUUAUUUUCUUGACGUGACCGACCUUUGAGAUCCAAAACCCAUGAAUCCGUACUCAAAAUUUCAUGAUUGUACAAUAGAAAGGCAACCCAUGAAUGCCCCAACGGGAUUGCUCUUAAACCGAAAAGUUUAAUUGGUUGAACACAUGCUUUAUUCUUUCAAGGGAAGAAACAAUGAUAACGUCAACAAAUUGCAAUGGUUGGCUCACCUCCAUCCAUCCUCACCCAUAAAAGGAAUAGCUCUAAGCAUCAAGACUUGAGGAAUUGGUUUUCAGCUCCCCCUCAUAACUUCCCACACCAGACAAAAGAAAAGGCCUGAAUAGGCACAAUGAGCAAUAAUUCCUUUCACAUUGUUCACCUAGGAUAAAACCUGCAGCAGUAACACAAUUUGGAACUUAUCUUUCAAUAAUUCCAAAAACAAUUUGUUGAUAACUCCAAAUUAGACCCCUAGAUUUCCCUGAACUAAGCUUAGAGAAGGGUUUAACAAAAGCUUAAGGCACAAUCAAGGGGAUAUGCAUCUCCAUCUCAUAAAGCGCAACAAGACUAAAAGUGAUCCCCUGAUUAAAGCAAGACCCAGAGUUCCAGCCUCAAUUGAAGGGUCCUAGGGCACUAGACACAUAUCUCACCGUGCUUUUGCACCUACGUAAACAAUUUGUGGACUUUUGACUACCCUGCGAAAGCUAACCAAAGAUAUAAUGCACACAAAUUUGGUAUCUCAGCAUCAAUUCAUCUACGACUAUAAUACAUGGAUCUAUUUUUUCUUUACAAGUAAGGGAGAAAUGAAAAUGAGAGUUAAUAGUGAGAAGAUUUGGCAAAGAAACUUUUCCAACCUCACCAAAAUAUAAUCUUCAAUUGCAGUUGAACUAAGAAGUCAAACCCUCAAUGCCACCUGAUCCUGCCAUGAAAUCUUCCUCUUACCUGCCCGACCUGAUCCAUUUCCAGCACUCCUACAAGCUGAUAACUUCAUAUCACUGUGUUGCUCAUCACUCCCACCUCUUACUAAGCAUAUCUUUGGCUCAUCUAUUAUCACUUCUCCAUUAGCCUGUAUUUCUUCCUCCUCCCUCGAAAUCCGGUUCAGGUCAAAAAUAGGACCAUUGUUUCUAACAGAAACUUCCUUUCCGCUGUAAAUCCUUUCCUUUAUAUUCAAGUCUGGAAUUGUAGCUGAAUUACGUAAUACAGAUUCCUUCCCAAUAUACGUCCUCUGCUUCUGGCUCAAGUCAAAAAUUGGACCAAGGGUUUGCAAAGCAGCUUCUCUUUCACUGUAAAACUUUCCCUUUCUGUUUAAAUCAAAUCGUGAAGCCGGGCGCUGCACAGCAGCAUCAUUCCCAAUGUAAUUCCUUUCUUUGCUUUCUUUCCUUACGGUUCUACUAACAUUUACUAAGUUCUGCUUCUGUCCAUAUUUUGGUUCAGAAGCAGGGUUUUGAGACUGGUUUUGCAUCAAGAACUUGUACCGUUGCCUCAGAAACCUACAAUUCAAAAGAUAAACAUUUAAUUCAAACUUAAACUAUAUCUCAUUCCAACUCAAGUGCAAAUCCACAAAAUAUAUGAGGGCAUAAUAAUAUAUCCAGCCUUAAUUAAAUAUAAAGAGUACCUGAUUUCAGACAAAAGGGUCAAUUUUUUCUGUUUCAUCGUCUCCAAUUUCUUUUUCUGAGCUUCUGUUUCCUGUUAAGUGUUUAAAGUUAUAAGUCCAUAUACAGCUAGCUGAAGGCAUUGAAUUUGAAACCUUACAAGACGAAUUGUUAACCAGUUAAAAGCCUGAAGACUACACAUUUAAAAAGAAUGUUAAAACCAUUAGAACAAAAAAUCUAUGUUCCAAACAUGGGCGCAGAAGGUUUUCAGUCAAUUUCUGGGCAAAGCUAGGAACCCAUAGUGUGGAUUCUUCAACCUACUAACAGGAAAAAGGGUAAAAGCAAGUUCUUCUUAAACCAUAUCAAUCCACAUGAACCUGUAACACUGAAUAACACGUACAAAGUGCAAACAUAUAAAAUCAAACAGAACAAAAACUAGGAAUUCAUUUGUGAAAAAGGUCUGUAAAUAGACAGGGAUAACCAGGCAAAAUCUAAAGGAUUUUCCUGUGAAAUCCUGAAAGCAGGUAACCAUCGAAUGGAAAAUUUCCAGCCAAACGCACAGUAGAUAUGGGUGAAGGCAAGUUCUCAAAAACCAAAUAAAUCAACAUAGACGAACAUAAUCACAAAGAGGCAUAAACCAAAUCCAGAUCGAAAUCAGAAGUCCCAGAUAAACGCAUUAAAAAUUUGCCAAUAACAAAACAACUGAUCUGUUUGGCUGUUGAGUGAAAACAGAAAACAACAAAGAACACGCAAAGACAUCAGAAACCCAAAAAUUUCCCCCUCAAGUUAGCCUCACACCAAUAAGCUUAUUGAGUAGUGCUCGUAAACUCUGAAUGAAAGUUUCGCUUUUCUUCCCCUUUUUACCCAGUUCUCCUCUACAACCAAACAUCAAACUUAUGAGCGCAACGAUGCGCAUAAUUUUGAAAAUUUAUCUGCUUAUUUUUAUUUUUCCCAGGAACCAAACAAGCAUAGGAAAACGCAACAUAUAGAAAACCUGUAAAAUUAUGAACAAAACCCACAAAAGGAAAUCUAACAAACACCAGAUCUAAUUUAAAAAAAUAAAAAAGAAACCACAUAUCUUUGGAAACCCAAAGCAAGCUAUUACCCUGUACAACUCCUCAUAAUCCUGCAUAAGACUUUGAUGCUUGAGCCUGGUCCUCUGAACCUCAUAUAAGAUUGCAUAUGGAGAAGACUCCAUAGCAGCAGCAACCCCCUUCAUUCUCUUCAUCAUCAGAUCGAAUACGAUAUUA
rnacentral:misc_RNA from 1 species